rnacentral:rRNA from 1 species
UACAGAGGUCUCAAGCGUUGUUCGGAAUUACUGGGCGUAAAGGGCGCGUAGGCGGCCUGCUAAGUCAUACGUGAAAUCCCUCGGCUCAACCGAGGAACUGCGUCUGAUACUGGUUGGCUUGAAUUCGGGAGAGGGAUGCGGAAUUCCAGGUGUAGCGGUGAAAUGCGUAGAUAUCUGGAGGAACACCGGUGGCGAAGGCGGCAUCCUGGACCGAGAUUGACGCUGAUGCGCGAAAGCCAGGGGAGCAAACGGG